CAGCAGUUUCGUCAGGAGACCAGAGGAGAGCUUGGAGCAGUAAACUCGCUCGCACAAGACAACAAGGCCCACUAGAACGAUUUUUAUCGUCGCCAGGGGUGGACGUAUGGCCCGACCCAUUGAUGAAGACUAGCUUGGGGGAGGACCCCCGUCAUAAGGUAUGUUUUCUUGAGCCCGACCAGUUCUUAUUUCCUUCACUUUCAGCAAUUUUUAAUUUCGCAUCCAAAAAAAUGGUAAUAGCAAAUAAAUAAAAUUUCUAUCACCUCAUUUGUUUUAAUUUGAAUAAAAUGCUUUCACUCACAAGUUAUCAUGCCUGAAAUUAGUGACUAAUUAAAGUUGAACUUGUUGAUAUUUUUUUCUGAUGCCAUGAACCUAAUUUUCUAUGGGAUAAAUUGCUAGAACUAAACUUGAGAUAUAAUAGCAAAACGAUUAGUGAAGAAAUGAGCAAGUUUAGAGUCCAGUCUUUAGCAAGAUCAAUCUAUAGAGCCUUUAUUUUUAAACUGCUAUAAAACUUGCAUUAGUAUUUCUGUGGCAAUUAAAAUGCCUACCAAAGCCAAAUAUUCCAUGCACUUUAGAAGAGAGGAAAUCCCACCUUGCUGCAUGCUAAUAUUGAGCUUAAUCAAGCUUUUGUUUGUUUCUUAGUUGAGAAGCUCGUCAUGCUAAUAAGAUCAAGAAUCACGUACACCCACCUAUAUAUUGCUACUAUCACACCGAGAGGUAUGCACAAACAUGCUCAUUCCAUCAUAUACUACUCUAUGGAAAAUAUUUACUUCUCAUAAUUUUAAGUGUCAAAUCUGGGUAUGGCUACUUAAAAAAAAAGAAAAGAAAAAAAGAGGCAUGUGUCUCAGCAAAAAAAGAUAGCCAUACCCAUACAAUCAAGAGGAGAAAUGCCUUGAUAGAGUAACCACCAUAGUUAUCACACAUGCACACUCUUGAUCUAUAGUAUGACCUGUUGCUCCUUUGAUCCAAUUGCUUGACUUCACAACACUAUGCUUAGCAUUGUAUGCACCACAUCAUUUCCUGAUUGAGAAACACCACAAAUAAUUAGUGAUAGGAUUAAAGGCAUCAUGUAUAACCUUUAUGGUGAGGAUAUAUUUCCACUUACAUAGGAGAGACUGAGGGUGCCACAGAAACAACUAGACAUGGUUUCUUUGAAAAAAAUACAUGAAAAACUCCAUAUGAUUUGAUUGAGCAAAAAGGCAUGGGUAAUAAACCCUCUUUCUAGCUAGCAUAAGUUCUAAUAUUAAGUACUGGGAAGGUGAUGAGUUCCAUGGUAAUGAUGGUGAGUGUUGACGGUCGAUAACGUCAACUUUUAUUAGAACUUUCAACCUGAGGGAGAACAUGAAAACACACUAGUCUAGGGCUUAAACUGACAAUUUCCAUGAGUUUUGGAUAUUCUGUAUUUUCCAGGGUCUAUUUCCAGAAAAGCUGAAAAGAGGGAUUCAAGUGCAAAAUAAACACAAAACUUAUCCGCCACGAAAAAGAUCAUGAACGGGACGUGGGAAGACUUUGGAAGACACCUGAAGAAACUGGGGCCCAGAGGCCGCCAGGUGGGGCCGGCCAGCCCCACCAUGGCGCUGGCCGGCGCCCCCUGUUAGGGUUUUGGCACCCCUUCUGGAAUCUUCCUCCACCACCUCUGAGGAGCCAUCUUGGCCCAUGGUUAAGUCAGUUUGAUCCUGCAGCGCACGUCGAUCCCACCGGGCUAUAAAUACAGGGGUAGACCCCCCUCCCUGGGGGCAUCACGUCAUUUGGAGAUCAAUCCAUCAAGAGCCUUCUCUCGUUGAUUAGAGCCUCUCUUGUUCAUAGUUUUAGUCUCGUUAGAUUAGAAGUAGAAGAGUUCUAGUUCUUCAGCGAGAUCCGGAGCCCCUGGUGUCUGUCUGGAGCGUGGAGUUCGGUAUAGUUCUAGUACCUUUCUUUUAUUGUAUUCAAUGUUAUGAUUCAGGCAACAUUGUUCUUAAUCUCUUAUAUAUUCUUAAUUGCAAUAGUCAUUGUAUAGUUUGAUUAUAUGUCUAGGAUAGUUGGUUUUAUCUUAUUGAAUUCAUGUAAUUGCUCGCAUAGCGUUUACCCAAUAAAUUGGUGGGUAGAUGGUAGACAAUAUAUAGACGUGGUGUCUAGUUAUCUUGUUUAUCUGUGAGGGCACCCUGACAUGCCAGGACGUGUGGUAGUCCACGCAGGUGACAACUGCCUUGGUUCCUCUGUAGUCCACCCCCUGUAUGUAGGACAGCUUGGGCGCAGUCGUGAAGGAGGUGACGAUUGCAUCUUAAUAUCCUCAUUAGUUGAUGCCUCUUUACAUGUGAUUAUGAUAUAGGGUUGACUUAACAAUGAUUUCUAGAUGUAACUACACUAAUUAGAGUUAUUCAUUGACAUAGUUAUAGAAUUACCUUAGUAUUUCUUCCUGAGUUUAUCCAAUGGCUAGCUAUUACUAUGACUAGAAGAGCUCUGAUAUUUAUCUAUUUAUGAUGACUGAUCAUUAUUUAUCUUAUAUCUUUUAUCAAGUGACUUAUCCCUCUUAUGAGUAGGAUUCUAGUUAUGGUUUACUGUUCACAUCAAAGCAUAAGUUAUAGUUAUAAGUCCUCCAUAUAGACCUUCCUUGUGGAUAUGAUAUUUAAAACCCCCCAAGUAAAAUGUGACAUUGGUAGGAUAUUUGUGCGCUUGCGGAUAAUCUUACUUAAAUCUUAUUUAAAGGAGUGUAGUUAAUUUAUACAAAUUGUGAGAGGCUUUUGUUUUAUGAUGUCAACAUGUUAAAUAGAGAUUGAUCAUCUAAUUAAGGUAUAUUAUUUAAGACAUAGUCUUUGCUCAGGGAUAAGCAAAAGGUAAGCUUGGGGGAGCUUGUUGAUGCUCACUAAACGCAUAUUUUAGCCAUCAACAAGACAUCAAUUCAUGGAUAAAAGAGACAUAGAUGAUAGGGAAUUUGGUUUAAACUAAUGGAAUUCCACUUGUAGAUGAGUUUUAUUUGUAUGCAGAGAAAAUGUUGAAAAUGUACAAGAAUUUGAUCACCAAGAGGCAGUCCAGCACCUGUGGGCCCAUUGGGGCCUGAGAGGGUGGCGGGCGCUAGGUCCAGGUGGCGGCCGCCAGGGCCCACCUGGCGGGCGCCACCCCACCUCCUCUGCCAUGU
rnacentral:lncRNA from 1 species